UACGUAGGGGGCAAGCGUUGUCCGGAUUUAUUGGGCGUAAAGAGCGUGUAGGCGGCCUGACAGGUCUGCUGUGAAAACUCGAGGCUCAACCUCGAGAUGUCGGCGGAAACCGUCUGGCUAGAGUCCGGAAGAGGAGAGUGGAAUUCCUGGUGUAGCGGUGGAAUGCGCAGAUAUCAGGAAGAACACCUAUGGCGAAGGCAGCUCUCUGGGACGGUACUGACGCUGAGACGCGAAAGCGUGGGGAGCGAACAGG
rnacentral:rRNA from 1 species